rnacentral:rRNA from 1 species
CCUACGGGAGGCAGCAGUGAGGAAUAUUGGUCAAUGGACGAGAGUCUGAACCAGCCAAGUAGCGUGAAGGAUGACUGCCCUAUGGGUUGUAAACUUCUUUUAUAUGGGAAUAAAAUGUUCCACGUGUGGGAUUUUGUAUGUACCAUAUGAAUAAGGAUCGGCUAACUCCGUGCCAGCAGCCGCGGUAAUACGGAGGAGCCGAGCGUUAUCCGGAUUUAUUGGGUUUAAAGGGAGCGUAGGUGGAUUGUUAAGUCAGUUGUGAAAGUUUGCGGCUCAACCGUAAAAUUGCAGUUGAAACUGGCAGUCUUGAGUACAGAAGAGGUGGGCGGAAUUCGUGGUGUAGCGGUGAAAUGCUUAGAUAUCACGAAGAACUCCGAUUGCGAAGGCAGUUCACUGGACUGCAACUGACACUGAGGCUCGAAAGUGUGGGUAUCAAACAGGAUUAGAUACCCUUGUAGUC